rnacentral:lncRNA from 1 species
AAUUAGAGUCGUGACUUGAAUGAGAAUAUGAUUCUCACAGUUCUCUGUUGGAACACUUGGUCCCCAGUGGCGGAGCUGUUUGAGAAGAUUGUAGAAGCUUGAAGAGUGGAGACCUGCUGGAGAAGAUCAAGAUGUAGCUCUCAAGUACUGCUCCAACAUACUCCUGCCUGCUGCCAUGUACCCUGACAUGAUGAUAAUGGACUAAACCUCUGAAACGGAUGUCAGGUAAACAACACGUGUGCUCCAUGACCAG